rnacentral:rRNA from 1 species
GAUGCAACGCGAAGAACCUUACCUGGCCUUGACAUAGUAAGAACUUUCCAGAGAUGGAUUGGUGCCUUCGGGAAUUUAGAUACAGGUGCUGCAUGGCUGUCGUCAGCUCGUGUCGUGAGAUGUUGGGUUAAGUCCCGCAACGAGCGCAACCCUUUUCCUUAUUCGCCAGCGGGUAAUGCCGGGAACCUUAAGGAUACUGCCAGUGACAAACUGGAGGAAGGCGGGGACGACGUCAAGUCAUCAUGGCCCUUACGGCCAGGGCUACACACGUGCUACAAUGGUCGGUACAAAGGGUUGCUACCUCGCGAGAGGAUGCUAAUCUCAAAAAGCCGAUCGUAGUCCGGAUCGCAGUCUGCAACUCGAGUGCGUGAAGUCGGAAUCGCUAGUAAUCGCGGAUCAGAAUGCCGCGGUGAAUACGUUCCCGGGCCUUGUACACACCGCCCGUCACACCAUGGGAGUUUGUUGCACCAGAAGUAGGUAGUCUAACCGCAAGGAGGAC